GAAAAAUAUGGAAUUCAGCAGCUCUCACCUGCCACUCCUUCAGCUGUGAGCAUGGAUAACCCGAGUCAGGUAACGGGUAACUAUAUGCAAAAAGGUUAGAAGAGAUCCAGCUCCACUUUGAUAAAGGAAAGUAUUUAUUUUGCUUGCG